CCUAACCAUUUAUGGAGGGAUGUUCCUAAGGUGUGAUUAGCGAUUGGGGUGAAGUCGUAACAAGGUAUCCGUACCGGAAGGUGCGGAUGGAUCACCUCCUUUCUAAGGAGCA
rnacentral:rRNA from 2 species